rnacentral:lncRNA from 1 species
GCCAGCUAAUUUUUCUUUUAUCUUUCUCUGAUCGUUUCUUUCUUUUGAAUUUAAUUUCAGGUCUUUUCUUUCCUUUUACUCUCUUUUCCUGAUUUUUUUUUUUCAUUUCUAGACCUGUUCUUUCUUUUUCAACCACACCAUAUUUUUCAGCACAUUUUUUUUUUCACCUCUGGCCUCACUCUUUUCCUGCACUCAACAAGUUCCAGAAUUCUCUCUAAAUCUCACAAG